rnacentral:rRNA from 1 species
UACGGAGGGUGCAAGCGUUAUCCGGAUUCACUGGGUUUAAAGGGUGCGUAGGUGGGCAAGUAAGUCAGUGGUGAAAUCCCCGGGCUUAACCCGGAAACUGCCAUUGAUACUAUUUGUCUUGAAUACUGUGGAGGUCAGCGGAAUAUGUCAUGUAGCGGUGAAAUGCUUAGAUAUGACAUAGAACACCAAUUGCGAAGGCAGCUGGCUACACAAAUAUUGACACUGAGGCACGAAAGCGUGGGGAUCAAACAGG